GACAAAAGUAAAAUUAAAGUUUGC
rnacentral:siRNA from 1 species